AAACCAUGCAUCAAGCAUUUUCUAAUUCAUUCCUUGAAAUGCUCCCAUGCUUUAUAUAAUGAAUCAUCGUCUGAUUGCCUGAACAAUGUAAUGUCGUUCCUGAGCUU
rfam:Gossypium hirsutum cultivar TM-1 unplaced genomic scaffold scaffold5353.1, whole genome shotgun sequence